rnacentral:rRNA from 1 species
UUGACCUCGGAUCAGGUAGGGAUACCCGCUGAACUUAAGCAUAUCAAUAAGCGGAGGAAAAGAAACCAACCGGGAUUGCCCUAGUAACGGCGAGUGAAGCGGCAAGAGCUCAAAUUUGAAAGCUGGCCCCCUCGGGGUCCGCAUUGUAAUUUGUAGAGGAUGCUUCGGGAGCGGUCCCCAUCUAAGUGCCCUGGAACGGGCCGUCAUAGAGGGUGAGAAUCCCGUAUGGGAUGGGGUGCCCGCGCCCGUGUGAAGCUCCUUCGACGAGUCGAGUUGUUUGGGAAUGCAGCUCUAAUUGGGUGGUAAAUUUCAUCUAAAGCUAAAUAUUGGCCGGAGACCGAUAGCGCACAAGUAGAGUGAUCGAAAGAUGAAAAGCACUUUGAAAAGAGAGUUAAACAGCACGUGAAAUUGUUGAAAGGGAAGCGCUUGCGAUCAGACUCGCUCGCGGGGUUCAGCCGGCCUUCGGGCCGGUGUACUUCCCCGCGGGCGGGCCAGCGUCGGUUUGGGCGGCCGGUCAAAGGCCCCUGGAAUGUAACGCCUCUCGGGGCGUCUUAUAGCCAGGGGUGCCAUGCGGCCUGCCCGGACCGAGGAACGCGCUUCGGCUCGACGC